ensembl:lncRNA
GUUCGAUGCGAUUUCGGUACAACAGGAAAAAAAUAAUAUAUUCUAUGCUCGGUUUCUUUUCAUUUAUUUUGAACAGACAGUAGUACAAAUUAAAAAAAAAUUCCACCUAGAUGUGAAAAUACUAAAUAUUAUUUCAUUAUGUUAUAAAUAUAAAAUCUGCAGUACAUAUAUACAUACAAGGAAUAAAUUCUUGAAAUAUAUUUGAUUUAGUUUAAAGGAAAAAACAGUGAGACACGUAAUGCGGCCUAUGCUGAGUUCCAGUUCAUUUUUGUGACAGGAUUAAUUUAUUCACAGAAAGGAAACUCAAAUGGCAGAAAGCGAAAUCCUAUUUGUUUUCUUUAUUUUACAAAAGCACAAUGUUUUGUUUUCAUUGUGAGUGUACACAAAUAAAAGCAGACCUUUAUACAGUGAUGCAUUAUUAAUAAGACAAUAAGUGUUUAAAGCUGAUUCUGCUGGUAUAAGGAAACAGUUGAGGUGAUCGUGUAGGUGCACAAACACACACACACACACAAACACACACAAAAGACAUCAGUUCCAGCAUUGCUAACUUGACAGCGCAGUUUAUUUUAUCAAAAUAAAAUACAGUGAACCAAACACCAGCGUGGCCGCCUCUGUGUCACCGUUGGAACGCGACUGAAACACAAAGCCUAUAAUUAACAAAAUUAUAAAUGCUAAAAUAGUUUAGCAUUCAGAUACGUUACAUCGCAUAUAUGUAAAUCAGAGGACCUCAGAUGAUGCUAACCCAGAGACAACAUACAGAACUACCACAUUUUGCUAUAAGUUUGAUUGCAUAAUUGCUGUUAAUAGUGUUAAUCUUCUGUUUGUUUACGUCUUUUAUUGAUUUUUCUGAACAUUUCUGCCAUAUGCACAUGAACUGACAGUCACCACUGAUAAGCUACUACUAAAUAUUGUAGAAACUUAAUUUUCUGUAAAGUUGCUUUGUAAUGAUUUGUAUCAUAAAAAGCGCUAUACAAAUAAACUUGAAUUGAAUUAAACUUGAAUGUAAAUAUUAUGUAACAUUUGGAUCUGUGCUGAAUAUGAGAGAUAGGAUACAUGAGCACAAAGCUCCAUUUUGCAAACAGUUGAGUGCACAAGCCUAUAAAGUAUACUCCUUUGUCAGUCUGUGAGAGACACAUUCAGAAUCAGCACAUGGUCACUGUCUAGUGGGCUUUGUUUUCAAGUGGGCAACUCAUGGCAUUCACUGUUCUUCUGCUGGCGGCCGGUUAUCAAACAGCAUUGCAUUGCUCCGGGUUCCCCCUUCUGGAUUGGGGGUGAAUUGCCUGUAUUCGUUGUAAGGCCUCAUGCACCGAACUGAGAUGCCUGUACCGUGAUGGUUCGUACGGAUACAUGUAUUGUUCCACCCCUAAUAAAUGAGAGCUGUCAUUAUAGAAAUAUAUAUAUAUAUAUAUAUACACACACACUCACCUAAAGGAUUAUUAGGAACACCAUACUAAUGCCAUUGAUUCAACAAGGUGCUGAAAGCAUUCUUUAGAAAUGUUGGCCCAUAUUGAUAGGAUAGCAUCUUGCAGUUGAUGGAGAUUUGUGGGAUGCACAUCCAGGGCACGAAGCUCCCAUUCCACCACAUCCCAAAGAUGCUCUAUUGGGUUGAGAUCUGGUGACUGUGGGGGCCAUUUUAGUACGGUGAACUCAUUGUCAUGUUCAAGAAACCAAUUUGAAAUGAUUCGAGCUUUGUGACAUGGUGCAUUAUCCUGCUGGAAGUAGCCAUCAGAGGAUGGGUACAUGGUGGUCAUAAAGGGAUGGACAUGGUCAGAAACAAUGCUCAGGUAGGCCGUGGCAUUUAAACGAUGCCCAAUUGGCACUAAGGGGCCUAAAGUGUGCCAAGAAAACAUCCCCCACACCAUUACACCACCACCAGCCUGCACAGUGGUAACAAGGCAUGAUGGAUCCAUGUUCUCAUUCUGUUUACGCCAAAUUCUGACUCUACCAUCUGAAUAUCUCAACAGAAAUCGAGACUCAUCAGACCAGGCAACAUUUUCAGUCUUCAACUGUCCAAUUUUGGUGAGCUCGUGCAAAUUGUAGCCUCUUUUUCCUAUUUGUAGUGGAGAUGAGUGGUACCCGGUGGGGUCUUCUGCUGUUGUAGCCCAUCCGCCUCAAGGUUGUGUGUGUUGUGGCUUCACAAAUGCUUUGCUGCAUACCUCGGUUGUAACGAGUGGUUAUUUCAGUCAAAGUUGCUCUUCUAUCAGCUUGAAUCAGUCAGCCCAUUCUCCUCUGACCUCUAGCAUCAACAAGGUAUUUUCGCCCACAGGACUGCCACAUACUGGAUGUUUUUCCCUUUUCACACCAUUCUUUGUAAACCCUAGAAAUGGUUGUGCGUGAAAAUCCCAGUAACUGAGCAGAUUGUGAAAUACUCAGACCGGCCCGUCUGGCACCAACAACCAUGCCAUGCUCAAAAUUGCUUAAAUCACCUUUCUUUCCCAUUCUGACAUUCAGUUUGGAGUUCAGGAGAUUGUCUUGACCAGGAUCACACCUAAAUGCAUUGAAGCAACUGCCAUGUGAUUGGUUGAUUAGAUAAUUGCAUUAAUGAGAAAUUGAACAGGUGUUCCUAAUAAUCCUUUAGGUGUGUAUAUAUAUAUAUAUAU